ensembl:lincRNA 3100003L05Rik uncharacterized LOC110297302
CCUGGACUAUGCCUGCUCUGUAUCCUUGGGGCAAGUAGGUCUCAGAGUCUGUGCAGAGCCCAGCUGGUGCUGCAGCUGAGGGAGCCAGGCAAGCAUAGAUUCUACUUUGAACAGACAUCUGGAACAUCCCCAGGUGUGUUGAUUUGAAGAGAAGAGGAACAUUCUGAAAUAGGAGAAUGAGACAUUGUUUCAUUGAGGAGGAAAACUCCUCAGGUUCCCGAGAAUCUCGACACAGUCACAGGUGUCUAGUUUCCUCCCAGGCUUCUCCGGAAAAUCAUGCUUUGGUUGAUCAUGGUAUUUCCUUGGAGCACUAGCUCUGGCAUAAAUAUACAGUCAGAAAAUGAUGCCAUCCUGGAAGAUAUACAAUAUGUUCCUGGCAAGAGACACUAGGCAUAUCUCUUCUACUGCCUGCUGCCCUUCCCAGGAUCCAGCUGCAUCGUGAAGGACCCACAGCUUGGAAAUAGAAGCAAUGAAGGAACUGAGCCUCUGUAAUUGCCUGCUUCCCCUGGGUCAGAGGUAGACAAAUAUGUGUCAAUCAGGAUGUGGUUUUUGUACAUAAGAAGCAAAGAACAAUGAGACUUGGGGUACACACCGACAUAGCCUGCUGGCCAUUGUGUCAUCAAAUAAAUAUAUUCUAUUGGUUU